rnacentral:rRNA from 1 species
CUACGGGAGGCACCAGUGAGGAAUAUUGCACAAUGGGGGGAACCCUGAUGCAGCAACGCCGCGUGGAGGAUGACGCAUUUCGGUGUGUAAACUCCUUUUAUAUGUCAAGAAAAUGACGGUAGCAUAUGAAUAAGCACCGGCUAACUCCGUGACAGCAGCCGCGGUAAUACGGAGGGUGCAAGCGUUACUCGGAAUCGCUGGGCGUAAAGGACGCGUAGGCGGGUUGGAAAGUCAGGUGUGAAAUCCUACAGCUUAACUGUAGAACUGCACUUGAAACUUCUAAUCUAGAGUAUGGGAGGGGGAGAUGGAAUUAGUGGUGUAGGGGUAAAAUCCGUAGAUAUCACUAGGAAUACCUAAAGCGAAGGCGAUCUCCUGGAACAUUACUGACGCUAAGGCGUGAAAGUGUGGGGAGCAAACAGGAUUAGAUACCCCGGUAGUC